AAACUUGUAAAAGGAUGGAGUAUCAACAAUGAAGCUGCCAUGAAGAAAAAAAAGAAGGAAUUACUUCAGGAAUUUGAUAUCUUGGAUGUCUUUUCUAAGCAAAAUAGAACUAAUGCUAAGGAUAUCCUCAGGAAGAAAAAAAUUAGGGAGGAGCUCAGUGAGAUUUGGAAGAAAGAAGAAACUGCCAUGUGGCAGAGAUGUAGGGAUAGGAAAAUCAAAGAGGGUGAUAGGAACACAACAUAUUUUCAUGUUGCCAAUCAACAUAGGAGGAAAAAUCGGCUAUCUAUUUUGGAAGGCCCAGAUGGACCUGUGUACUCCACUAGAGAUAUGCUAGAGGUCGCAACUAACUUUUAUAAAAACCUCUUUGGGUAUGAACCUAAACCUAACAUUCAUCUGGAUGACCAGUUUUGGUGUGAGGUGGAGCUUGUGACAGAGGCUGAAAAUGCCUUGCUUGAGAGGCCUUUUUCAGAAGAGGAAAUUAAAUAAGCUGUUAUGGGCUCCUAUGCCAAUGGAGCCCCUGGCCCUGAUGGUCUCUCCUUUUUAUUUUAUCAACGCUUUUGGGAGAUUAUCAAAGGAGAUUUCAUGGCACUGGUGAGAGACUUUGAGAAUGGGUAUUUGGAUAUCUAG
rnacentral:rRNA from 1 species